UGGGGAAUUUUGCACAAUGGGGGAAACCCUGAUGCAGCAACGCCGCGUGAGUGAAGAAGGCCCUUGGGUUGUAAAGCUCUUUCGGCCGUGAAAAAGGGUGAGCGUGCUCAUACCACGUUCAUUUGAUGGUAGCGGAAGAAGAAGCACCUGCUAACUACGUGCCAGCAGCAGCGGUAAUACGUAGGGUGCAAGCGUUGUUCGGAAUUACUGGGCGUAAAGGGCGCGUAGGCGGGUUUGCAAGUCGUCUGUGAAAUCCCCGGGCUUAACCUGGGAAUGGCAGGCGAAACUGCAGAUCUUGAGUGUUUGAGAGGAUGACAGAAUUGCAGGUGUAGAAGUGAAAUUCGUAGAUAUCUGCAGGAACACCGGAGGCGAAGGCGGUUGUCUGGCAAAACACUGACGC
rnacentral:rRNA from 1 species